AUAAAACAUAUAGUUUGUUGCGAUAUAAAUUAGAGCAGAAUCUGUUAAAAGUUAAUGGAAUGACAUGAUAAGAUAAUUCAGGAAGCCAGGAAGUAUUUCAAUUAUCGGAAACAAGGACCGGAGACUAUAAUAUUAUUUGUAUACAAGGUGUCCUAAGAUAUCACGGCGAAUAUCUUGUUGACAGUAAAAUAAAUAAAUAAUAUAUACAUAAAUUCUCUUUUCCUUAUUUGAGGAUUAUUAUAUUUAUAUUUACAUUAAAAGUUUCCAAUUUUUUUCUAUCGUAUAUUUUAAUAAAAAUUUAAGCCUCAAAUUAAAAUUCUCUUUCUCUCCCCCCUCCCGCCUCUCUCUAUUAAUUCAAAGCAAUUUGCAUCCAAAUUAAUUGAAAAAUGUAGUUUUGUUAUUGUGUGUGUUUAUUAUUGUUGUAUGUGUACCUGUUAUUUUGUUGGCUCCCCAAAGUUUUAAUUUGCAAAGAAUCUCUUUUUCAAAAUCCGUUAAUGUAUAUACCAUAACAGAAAUGCUAUACAUAUAAAAAACAUUUUAAAAUAGUCCUUAUUUACAAACAGACAGAGAAUACUUACAUCUCGCUUAUGUCAUGUCGACAAAAGUUAUUAUCAAAAGUUCAAAUGUUACGUUUGUUAUUUACGUAAACAUAUCAUGUAUAUUUUCGGAUAUAUAUCUCGCCUUUAAUAAUCUUGAUUAGUCAAUUAUUAUAUCAACGUCCGCUUAUCGACAUAUGUAUUUGAUAAUUUAAAUAUGUCUAACGUCGCACAUCUCGAAAUUUGUAUAUAAGAUGGUCCGAAAAAUGAAACGUUCGUUUCUAAUAUAAGGCUGCUGCCGGAUAAAAUAAAACAAAAUGGACAAUAUCUCUUCAAAAGUUUCCAUCACGCUCGUUCGAUGAGAGACAAGAUCACAGGACAUUUUUGUUACACAAGAGGAGAAAAAACGUUUGUCAUAUAAACGAUCCAUACAUAUCAACUGUAAUGAAUUUGGAAAAAUCUGAAGAAACAAGUAGUUUCGUAUUCGGAUUUGGUGGCAAUUCGACAACUGCUAAUAAUUCUGGUACUUCGGAGUCUCUGCCUAUUUUGUUUAUCCAAUAAUCACUUACGGUGCAAACGGCACUGUCAAUAAUAUCUGCGUCUAAUGCGUUAUUAUUUUGUAAAUUAGAUAUAUCGGCAUCUAGGCUUCGGCUAGAAGUUCCAACAGCAAUAUACUGUUCAUUUUGCGAAAUAUCACAACAAGUUGCUUUCCAUGAAAACCGAAAAGUAGAAUAAGGCUGUUCAUUAUUUUCAAUACAAGGUAGUAAUAUCGUAUUUUUGCAAAAAUAG